CCCUAGCGGCGAACGGGUGAGUAACACGUGGGCAACCUGCCCCUAGCACUGGGAUAACUCCGGGAAACCGGGGCUAAUACCGGAUAUGACCUUUGAGGGCAUCCUCUUUGGUGUAAAGGAUUCUGGCUAGGGAUGGGCCCGCGGCCUAUCAGCUUGUUGGUGGGGUAAUGGCCUACCAAGGCGACGACGGGUAGCCGGCCUGAGAGGGCGACCGGCCACACUGGGACUGAGACACGGCCCAG
rnacentral:rRNA from 1 species